GACGAACGCUGGCGGCGUGCUUAAUACAUGCAAGUCAACUUGACUUUAGAUAGCAAUAUCGAAAAGUAGGGUGGCGCACGGUGCGUAACGCGUAGGUAAUCUGCCCUGAGGUCUGACAUAACCCGUCGAAAGGCGGGCUAACAUCAGAUGAUAUAUAAUCACGACAUCGUGGAAAUAUCAAAUCUUCGGAGCCUUGGGAUGAGCCUGCGUCUGAUUAGGUAGUUGGCGGAGUAAUAGCCCACCAAGCCUACGAUCAGUAGCUGGUCUGAGAGGAUGAUCAGCCACACUGGAACUGAGACACGGUCCAGACUCCUACGGGAGGCAGCAGUAAGGAAUAUUGCUCAAUGGGGGAAACCCUGAAGCAGCAACGCCGCGUGAAGGAUGAAAUACUUUUGUAUGUAACCUUCUGUAAGAUGGGAAAAAUAUUACUCCUCGGGAGAAUCGAUUGUACCAUCAGAGUAAG
rnacentral:rRNA from 1 species